rnacentral:rRNA from 1 species
AGAGUUUGAUCAUGGCUCAGGACUAACGCUGGCGGCGUGCCUAAUGCAUGCAAGUCGGACGCGCGUGGCUUCGGCCAGGCGAGUGGCAGACGGGUGAGGAACGCGUGGACGACCUGCCCCGGGGUGGGGGAUACCCCGCAGAAAUGCAGGAUAAGCCCGCGUACGCUCUUGCGGUUGCGGCCGGGAGAGGAAAGCCUACGGGCGCCCUGGGAGGGGUCUGCGGCCCAUCAGCUGGGCGGUGGGGUAACGGCCUACCGAGGCGAUGACGGGUAGCUGGUCUGAGAGGAUGGCCAGCCACACGGGGACUGGGAGACGGCCCCGACUCCUACGGGAGGCAGCAGCAAGGGAUUUUCCGCAAUGGGGGCAACCCUGACGGAGCGACGCCGCGUGCGGGAUGACGUCUUUCGGGAUGUAAACCGCUUUUCGGGGGGGUGAGGAAGGACAGUACCCUCGGAAGAAGCCCCGGCUAACUACGUGCCAGCAGCCGCGGUAAUAC